rnacentral:tRNA from 1 species
GUCUAUGUAGUAUACUAAUUACACUGGUCUUGUAAACCAGAGAUGGGGAAACAAAUCAUUCCCCCACAGACU